rnacentral:rRNA from 1 species
AUUGAACGCUGGCGGCAGGCUUAACACAUGCAAGUCGAGCGGGGUGAUGGUGCUUGCACUAUCACUUAGCGGCGGACGGGUGAGUAAUGCUUAGGAAUCUGCCUAUUAGUGGGGGCCAACAUCUCGAAAGGGAUGCUAAUACCGCAUACGUCCUACGGGAGAAAGCAGGGGAUCGCUCGUGACCUUGCGCUAAUAGAUGAGCCUAAGUCGGAUUAGCUAGUUGGUGGGGUAAAGGCCUACCAAGGCGACGAUCUGUAGCGGGUCUGAGAGGAUGAUCCGCCACACUGGGACUGAGACACGGCCCAGACUCCUACGGGAGGCAGCAGUGGGGAAUAUUGGACAAUGGGGGGAACCCUGAUCCAGCCAUGCCGCGUGUGUGAAGAAGGCCUUAUGGUUGUAAAGCACUUUAAGCGAGGAGGAGGCUCUUUUGGUUAAUACCCAAGAUGAGUGGACGUUACUCGCAGAAUAAGCACCGGCUAACUCUGUGCCAGCAGCCGCCGCCG